rnacentral:rRNA from 1 species
GUUAGGAAUAUUGGACAAUGGGCGCAAGCCUGAUCCAGCCAUGCCGCGUGAGUGAUGAAGGCCUUCGGGUUGUAAAGCUCUUUAGCCGAUGAUUAUAAUGACUGUAGUCGGAAAAUAAGCCCCGGCUAACUUCGUGCCAGCAGCCGCGGUAAUACGAAGGGGGCGAGCGUUAUUCGGAAUCACUGGGCGUAAAGCGUGCGUAGGCUGCUUUGCAAGUUGGGAGUGAAAGCCCAGGGCUCAACCCUGGAAUUGCUCUCAAAACUGCAAGGCUCGAAUUCGGGAGAGGAUAGCGGAAUUGUCAGUGUAGCAGUGAAAUGCGUAGAUAUUGACAGGAACACCAGUGGCGUAAGCGGCUAUCUGGACCGAUAUUGACGCUGAGGCACGAAAGCGUGGGGAUCAAACAGGAUUAGAAACCCGAGUAGUCC